UGGCACCAAUCCUCCUCCCGAUGCCAUCGAUGAGGAUUGGAGGAACGAUUGGAGAACGGCAGAACAACCCGACGAAGACCAACCAGUAAAGAACAAAAAGGUGAAGAAAAAAGUGAGCAAAGAACGUAAAAAAGCACGCAAGCUGGCGGAAAAGAAGAAAAGAUGGCAAAAAUACAAAGCCACCAAUGCCAUUGAAGUGGAAAAGUUCAACAGACAACUGCUGGAACGCAACAACAGAGAACAGCAAGAAAGAGAAUUGGUGCAAGAAAAAGCCAAGCCUUUGAACCCAUUCAAAGAAUACUUUGGCACCGACGUCAGAAAAGCCUACCCCUACUCAAAAUACACCGAUCAAUGCACCCAAGUGAAAAGGUUGUUGCACA
rnacentral:rRNA from 1 species